rnacentral:tRNA from 1 species
AAGAUUUUAAGUUAAAUAAACUGAAGACUUUCAAGGUCUUUUAUAAAUAUAUGUAGUUUAAGUCUUG